rnacentral:rRNA from 1 species
AACGAACGCUGGCGGCAUGCCUAACACAUGCAAGUCGAACGGCAGCACGGACUUCGGUCUGGUGGCGAGUGGCGAACGGGUGAGUAAUACAUCGGAACGUGCCCAGUCAUGGGGGAUAACGUAGCGAAAGCUACGCUAAUACCGCAUACGAUCUAAGGAUGAAAGCGGGGGAUCGCAAGACCUCGCGCGAUUGGAGCGGCCGAUGGCAGAUUAGGUAGUUGGUAGGGUAAAGGCCUACCAAGCCGACGAUCUGUAGCUGGUCUGAGAGGAUGAUCAGCCACACUGGGACUGAGACACGGCCCAGACUCCUACGGGAGGCAGCAGUGGGGAAUUUUGGACAAUGGGCGCAAGCCUGAUCCAGCCAUUCCGCGUGCAGGAUGAAGGCCUUCGGGUUGUAAACUGCUUUUGUACAGAACGAAAAGGCUCUGGUUAAUACCCGGGGCUCAUGACGGUACUGUAAGAAUAAGCACCGGCUAACUACGUGCCAGCCGCCGCUGUAA